CUCAUCAAGCAAUAUGUUUAAAGACUUGACAUCACGAUGUAUAACUGCGUUAGUAUGAAGGUAGUGCAGACCUCUGGCUGCCCCGAUGCAUAUCUCCAGCCUCUGCUCCCAGCUCAUACUAGGUAGAUCUGACCCAUACAAAUGAUUCCUGAGGUUCCCAUUCUCCAUGUACUCAUAAAUUAGAAUCAUCUCAUUAUUUUCAUCACAGUAUCCAAUCAAUGAAACCAGAUGUGGAUGGCAGAACUUUGAGAGAAUCUCAAUUUCUGUUUGGAACUCUUGAAGACCUUGAUUGGAUUCAGGCGUAUACCUUUUCAAGGCGACCUUUGUUCCAUCACACAAAAGCACCCUGUAAAUCUUCCCAAAUCCACCCACUCCAAUGACCAAACUCUCAUCAAAGUUGUUAGUUGCUUCCUGCAAAGCUACAAAAGGAACUCGAAAACUUUCAAAAGGAACGUGAUAACUCAUCGUAUCAGUUACGUAAGUUGUUGCCUUGGAAUACUUGGUUCCCAUGGUGGAGUGCAACUAGUAUUUGACUGGGCAAACUGCUCCUGUUUUGUUGAGCAAAAUCGGAAACUCACAACUAAAUCUCGUGAUCGGAAGACUUCACUGUCUCAAAGUUGCAAACAAAUGGUAUAACAGAAGAAAAAAUGAACUCCUAACAGUAAGCAUGUAGAUGAAAAUCACAAAUAUAUGUAUACAAAACAGAAGCUUGAGGAACCUCUGAUUAUACCACAACUGAGGAAAUUUGGAGAGAAGACAGAGAGAUUGAUAGUUAUUGUGGAAGAGAGAAUCGAAAAGAAAAUUACCUCUUCACUAAUGGAUUUGGGCAAUACUUGCGUAUAUUAUAUGUAUUAAGUAAAUUACUUAGUCAAAUAGCUUAGUCAUGAUGUUCAGUAAUAUUUGUUUACAAAAAUAUUACUCAAUAAUGGUUAUAUAUUAUCUUAAAAUGUCAUUCAACUUUAUUUUUUAAUAGGAAAGUUGCUAUACAAUUGUCAUUUUGUAAACAGAUCGAAUAUUAUAUGUAAACAGAUUGAGUAAUAUUUUGAAUUGCUCCGCGAACUUUUAAGAUCUGCAGUUCCAUUCUGAAAGCUGAAUAUAUAUAUAUAUAUAUAUUUUAUAUGACUAUGUCAAAGCAGCAAACUUCCUUUUGCCUCUUUACAAUAAGAAAGUGUAUGAAGAACUUAAAAAAAACCAUAUACAAUUAAUAUGUGUAACUGCCGGACACACCUAAUAAAAUGAAAGAAGGAUCCACAGGUAGAGCAUUUCAAGUUUUCAAAGUUAACUUUCUAUAUAAAACUCAGAAGACUUACAAAAACAAAAAUAUAUCUUUAUAUGAUCCACCAACAAAAGUGGAAUUAACAAACACCUGAGGAUGGUAUGCACCAUUUUCACUUAGUUAUCAACCAUCAGACUUGAUCAAUUUCUAGAAACCAGCAGCACAGAGAUCAUCCGAAUUUGAUGAGAUCAUCCAGAUCUGAGCAUCAAAUGACUGAAAUCAUAGACUUGAAGUCAGGGGCAGAGCUACUCUUGCCCGAGGGGUGUCAAGCAGCACUCCUUUGCUGGAAAAUUACAUUAUAUAUAGGUUAAUUUUGCUUUAAUAAAUAUAUAUACUAGUGUUACACCAAUCACUUUUUUUUCUUUCUAAACAACUAAAACGACAUGCACAUUACAGCCUUUCUCGUGCAUUUAUUUCUUUAUAUUUUGAUAACCCUUAAUGAAAAUCCUAGCUCCACCACUGCUUGCAGUCAAGAUCAUCUUAAAUAACAGACUCUUGGAGUGCAUACUCCAGUUUCCACAACACUUCACCCAUUGAUGGCCUAUCUUCACUAGACAAAGCUAAACAUUUCACCGCUGUUUCACCAAAUUUCCUGAGGGACUCUGGUCUUAUUUUGGCUGCAAGAUCGGGAUCAAUAAUUUGUUCCAACUGUCCCUUAUUAUGCGACUCCACUGCCCAUUCAGCUAAACUCACCAUCUCCCUUGGAAGAGAUUGAACUAUGGCAGGCCUAGCACAAAGAACUUCAAAUAAAACAACACCGAAAGAAUAGACAUCAGAUUUUUCUGUCAGUUGUCCCCUUAAAAAAUAUUCAGGGUCAAGGUAGCCGAUAGUUCCUUGCACCAGGGUGCUAAGAUGGGUUUGAUCAAGCUCAGUCCCUUUCUUGGAUACUCCAAAGUCAGUAAUUUUUGCCACAAAAUUCUCAUCAAGUAAUAUGUUGAUAGACUUGACAUCACGAUGUAUAACUGCGCUGGUAUGAAGGUAGUGCAGACCUCUUGCUGCCCCGAUGCAUAUCUCCAGCCUCUGCUCCCAGCUCAUAGUGGGUAGAUCUGAGCCAUACAAAUGGCUCCUGAGGUUCCCAUUCUCAAUGUAGUCAUAAACUAGAAUCAUCUCAUUUCUUUCAUCACAGUAUCCUAUCAAUGAAACCAAAUGCGGAUGGCUGCAAAAAGAGAGAAUCUCAAUUUCUGUUUGGAACUCUUCAAUACCUUGUGAGGACUCACGCUUAUACCUCUUCAGGGCCACCUUUGUUCCAUCACGCAAAACACCCCUGUAAACUUUCCCAAAGCCACCCAACCCAAUGUGAAACUUCUCAUCAAAGUUGUUAGUUGCUUCCUGCAAAUCUACAAAAGGAACACGACGACAACUCGAGUUUAAAUCAUCAUUUAUGGAAUUUAUUGCCUUGGAAUACUUGCUUCCCAAGGUUGAGUGCUACUAAUAACCUUCAAAUAACAUUAUUUAAGCUAUCACUGAGCAUAAGGUAAUUUCUGAUUGUGUUUUUUGUAGAAUAAAUCUGGAAACAGAGAUGCAUUAAUUUAUC
rnacentral:lncRNA from 1 species